UACAGAGGUCUCAAGCGUUGUUCGGAUUCAUUGGGCGUAAAGGGUGUGUAGGUGGCGCGCUAAGUCGGGUGUGAAAGCCCUCAGCUCAACUGAGGAAGUGCGCCCGAAACUGCAGAGCUUGAGUACCGGAGAGGAUGGCGGAAUUCCCCAAGUAGAGGUGAAAUUCGUAGAUAUGGGGAGGAACACCGGUGGCGAAGGCGGCCAUCUGGACGGAUACUGACGCUGAGACGCGAAAGCGUGGGGAGCAAACAGG
rnacentral:rRNA from 1 species